rnacentral:tRNA from 1 species
GCAGUGGUAGUUCAGCGGUAGAAUUCUCGCCUUCCAUGCAAGAGUCCCGGGCUCGAUUCCCUCAAUGCA